GAUGAACGCUGGCGGCGUGCCUAAUACAUGCAAGUCGAGCGAACCACUUCGGUGGUGAGCGGCGAACGGGUGAGUAACACGUAGGUGAUCUGCCCAUCAGACGGGGACAACGAUGGGAAACGAUCGCUAAUACCGGAUAGGACGAAAGUUUAAAGGUGCUUCUGGCACCGCUCAUGGAUGAGCCUGCGGCGCAUUAGCUAGUUGGUAGGGGAAAGGCCUACCAAGGCGACGAUGCGUAGCCGACCUGAGAGGGUGAACGGCCACACUGGGACUGAGACACGGCCCAGACUCCUACGGGAGGCAGCAGUAGGGAAUCUUCGGCAAUGGGCGAAAGCCUGACCGAGCAACGCCGCGUGAAUGAUGAAGGCCUUCGGGUUGUAAAAUUCUGUUAUAAGGGAAGAACGACUUUAGUAGGAAAUGGCUAGAGUGUGACGGUACCUUAUGAGAAAGCCACGGCUAACUACGUGCCAGCAGCCGCCGCAGUAA
rnacentral:rRNA from 1 species